rnacentral:rRNA from 1 species
GGUUAAGCGACUAAGCGUACACGGUGGAUGCCCUGGCAGUCAGAGGCGAUGAAGGACGUGCUAAUCUGCGAAAAGCGUCGGUAAGGUGAUAUGAACCGUUACAGCCGGCGAUGUCCGAAUGGGGAAACCCAGUGCAAUUCGUUGCACUAUCGUUAACUGAAUACAUAGGUUAACGAGGCGAACCGGGGGAACUGAAACAUCUAAGUACCCCGAGGAAAAGAAAUCAACCGAGAUUCCCCCAGUAGCGGCGAGCGAACGGGGAGCAGCCCAGAGUCUGAAUCAGCUUGUGUGUUAGUGGAACGGUCUGGAAAGUCCGACGGUACAGGGUGAUAGUCCCGUACACCAAAAUGCACAGGCUGUGAACUCGAAGAGUAGGGCGGGACACGUGGUAUCCUGUCUGAAUAUGGGGGGACCAUCCUCCAAGGCUAAAUACUCCUGACUGACCGAUAGUGAACCAGUACCGUGAGGGAAAGGCGAAAAGAACCCCGGCGAGGGGAGUGAAAAAGAACCUGAAACCGUGUACGUACAAGCAGUGGGAGCACCUUCGGGUGUGACUGCGUACCUUUUGUAUAAUGGGUCAGCGACUUAUAUUCUGUAGCAAGGUUAACCGUAUAGGGGAGCCGCAGGGAAACCGAGUCUUAACUGGGCGUUAAGUUGCAGGGUAUAGACCCGAAACCCGGUGAUCUAGCCAUGGGCAGGUUGAAGGUUGGGUAACACUAACUGGAGGACCGAACCGACUAAUGUUGAAAAAUUAGCGGAUGACUUGUGGCUGGGGGUGAAAGGCCAAUCAAACCGGGAGAUAGCUGGUUCUCCCCGAAAGCUAUUUAGGUAGCGCCUCGUGAACUCAUCUUCGGGGGUAGAGCACUGUUUCGGCUAGGGGGUCAUCCCGACUUACCAACCCGAUGCAAACUACGAAUACCGAAGAAUGUUAUCACGGGAGACACACGGCGGGUGCUAACGUCCGUCGUGAAGAGGGAAACAACCCAGACCGCCAGCUAAGGUCCCAAAGUCAUGGUUAAGUGGGAAACGAUGUGGGAAGGCACAGACAGCCAGGAUGUUGGCUUAGAAGCAGCCAUCAUUUAAAGAAAGCGUAAUAGCUCACUGGUCGAGUCGGCCUGCGCGGAAGAUGUAACGGGGCUAAACCAUGCACCGAAGCUGCGGCAGCGACACUAUGUGUUGUUGGGUAGGGGAGCGUUCUGUAAGCCUGCGAAGGUGACCUGUGAGGGUUGCUGGAGGUAUCAGAAGUGCGAAUGCUGACAUAAGUAACGAUAAAGCGGGUGAAAAGCCCGCUCGCCGGAAGACCAAGGGUUCCUGUCCAACGUUAAUCGGGGCAGGGUGAGUCGACCCCUAAGGCGAGGCCGAAAGGCGUAGUCGAUGGGAAACAGGUUAAUAUUCCUGUACUUGGUGUUACUGCGAAGGGGGGACGGAGAAGGCUAUGUUAGCCGGGCGACGGUUGUCCCGGUUUAAGCAUGUAGGCUGGUUGUCCAGGCAAAUCCGGAUAAUCAAGGCUGAGGUGUGAUGACGAGGCACUACGGUGCUGAAGUAACAAAUGCCCUGCUUCCAGGAAAAGCCUCUAAGCAUCAGGUAACAUUAAAUCGUACCCCAAACCGACACAGGUGGUCAGGUAGAGAAUACCAAGGCGCUUGAGAGAACUCGGGUGAAGGAACUAGGCAAAAUGGUGCCGUAACUUCGGGAGAAGGCACGCUGGUGUGUAGGUGAAGUCCCUGCGGAUGGAGCUGAGACCAGUCGAAGAUACCAGCUGGCUGCAACUGUUUAUUAAAAACACAGCACUGUGCAAACACGAAAGUGGACGUAUACGGUGUGACGCCUGCCCGGUGCCGGAAGGUUAAUUGAUGGGGUUAUCCGUAAGGAGAAGCUCUUGAUCGAAGCCCCGGUAAACGGCGGCCGUAACUAUAACGGUCCUAAGGUAGCGAAAUUCCUUGUCGGGUAAGUUCCGACCUGCACGAAUGGCGUAAUGAUGGCCAGGCUGUCUCCACCCGAGACUCAGUGAAAUUGAACUCGCUGUGAAGAUGCAGUGUACCCGCGGCAAGACGGAAAGACCCCGUGAACCUUUACUAUAGCUUGACACUGAACAUUGAGCCUUGAUGUGUAGGAUAGGUGGGAGGCUUUGAAGCGUGGACGCCAGUCUGCGUGGAGCCAACCUUGAAAUACCACCCUUUAAUGUUUGAUGUUCUAACGUUGGCCCCUUACCGGGGUUGCGGACAGUGUCUGGUGGGUAGUUUGACUGGGGCGGUCUCCUCCCAAAGCGUAACGGAGGAGCACGAAGGUUAGCUAAUCCUGGUCGGACAUCAGGAGGUUAGUGCAAUGGCAUAAGCUAGCUUGACUGCGAGCGUGACGGCGCGAGCAGGUGCGAAAGCAGGUCAUAGUGAUCCGGUGGUUCUGAAUGGAAGGGCCAUCGCUCAACGGAUAAAAGGUACUCCGGGGAUAACAGGCUGAUACCGCCCAAGAGUUCAUAUCGACGGCGGUGUUUGGCACCUCGAUGUCGGCUCAUCACAUCCUGGGGCUGAAGUAGGUCCCAAGGGUAUGGCUGUUCGCCAUUUAAAGUGGUACGCGAGCUGGGUUUAGAACGUCGUGAGACAGUUCGGUCCCUAUCUGCCGUGGGCGCUGGAGAAUUGAGGGGGGCUGCUCCUAGUACGAGAGGACCGGAGUGGACGCAUCACUGGUGUUCGGGUUGUCAUGCCAAUGGCACUGCCCGGUAGCUAAAUGCGGAAGAGAUAAGUGCUGAAAGCAUCUAAGCACGAAACUUGCCCCGAGAUGAGUUCUCCCUGAGACUUUAAGUCUCCUGAAGGAACGUUAAAGACGAUGACGUUGAUAGGCCGGGUGUGUAAGCGCAGCGAUGCGUUGAGCUAACCGGUACUAAUGAACCGUGAGGCUUAACCUU